rnacentral:rRNA from 1 species
UACGUAGGGGGCAAGCGUUGUCCGGAUUUAUUGGGCGUAAAGAGCGUGUAGGCGGCCAAGCAGGUCAGCUGUGAAAACUCGAGGCUCAACCUCGAGACGUCGGUUGAACCGCCUGGCUAGAGUCCGGAAGAGGAGAGGUGGAAUUCCCGGUGUAGCGGUGAAAUGCGCAGAUAUCGGGAAGAACACCCGUGGCGAAGGCGGCUACUCUCGGGACGGUACUGACGCUGAGACGCGAAAGCGUGGGGAGCGAACGAGG